GUGUGGUGGGAGAACACAGCCGCAAACUGACACCACAGGCACAGACUCUGGGGGUCCCCACUCACUGCCACUGCUUGGAUAGGCUUCAACACCUUUGGCUCUGCAGACGUGAUCAUAUGCUUUUAUUAUGAGAAAUGGUCUGCCUCAAAGGACUCGACAAAUCCACCAAAGUGAGAAUGGACCAGACCAGCGGAAGAAGUAGAUCGGGGGAUCACAUCAACACCGUAUCCUCCAGGAGAGGCCACCGUAGCACUGGAUGAUCCCAUGGAUGAGUGCUGCUGUGUGGGGCGCAGAGAGUGCUCAGCCUGGCUGCUGAGGAUUUCUUCUGGCUCCUUUUCUCCUUGUGUGGAAGGUGUUGAGUCACACAGGGACUCAACACUCGAGAGACGGCUCUGCCCAGAGAGGACAGAGCUCUCUGGGAUGUUUUGUGCCUUUAGAGGCUGAUCCUGGAUACCCAUGAGCGAUGGCUGUGAUUGUGCCUGUACUGCUGACUCUUGAUCCUCUCCUUCUUUAGAUGUCUCUGUAUCUAUAUGAGUGUUCACCUCUGCUAGUGCCUGUGUCAAAGCAUCUAUCUCAGCCCCUAUCUCUGUGAAGGCAGCUGUGAAGUCCUCUGGUGGAGCCGCGAUGAUCCCAGUCCAGUCUGAGAGAGCGCUUGCCCAGCUGUCCACUGACGACCACCUCUCAACCGGUGGCCCCCAACCUCCAGUGUCAUCACCGGACCAGCCAAUCACUUCACUACCAUCAGGGUUGUAACAUGACACUUGUGUCUCUCCUGUGGGAAAAGACAAGUCACUGGUGGCCGUGAGCCCUCCUUGCAUCACAGAAUGACCUGUCUUGUCCGAAACAUCCCUAUCUUCUAUAUCCUCACCUGCCAGAUACUGGCAUGCGUCCAGCCAUAGUUCGAUGGGGCUGUCAUUGCGCCGUGGUUGGGGGGUUAAAUCAGUGACCUCUGCUUUCCCUCGUCUAGCAUCAUUUACUGACAUCAAGCCUGCCUCGCAGGCAUUCACAGCAGGUGGUCUUAGUCUUGUGGGUUGGCUCACGUCAGACUCAUAGUCCACCAUAGCUCGUUCCUCACUGGAGCCGUGAUGACAUUGUGUCACCACAUUUUCUGAAUCACACAUCAGUGACUGUGAAUCGCAGUCAGGGUCUGACUUUUUUCCCCCUGUUUGUGAUAAUGGCCGGUAUUCAGGACAUUUAAUCUCCUCUGGAUCAACAUUAGGGCUAAGUAUGAAGUCAUGUGUGUCACUUUCAAAGAUAUAAAGGUCUGACACAGGUGCUAUAGCUGUAUCACUCUCUAAACUAUCUGACUGAUGUGAUAACGACCUUAAUAGAUAAGUUGCUUGACUGUCUUUAGAACUGAAGCUGUGACUAUAGAUGGGCUCAGUGAAAGAUGGCUCCAUUAAAGGUUGAGGUGUGCUAUUUUCUUGUAUGGGAGAAAAACAGAGGGCUGGUUCUUGUUUAACGUAAAACUCUGAAAAAGAUUCAGAAAGAGGGGAAAUAAGGUCAUGAGAGAGGUGAGGUAAAAGAGGUUCUGAUGAGCCAAAAUAGCUAAAAACCCUGAAAUCCUCAUCCAUUAAGGAAGGCUCUGAACAAAGUGACAAACACUCUGACAUAUUAUAGCUGGAUGACGAAGGCUUCUGACAGUCUAAGUCAGUGGUUUUCUCCUGAGAGAGGCAUUCGGGAACGUUUGAUAAAGUCUUGGUUGAUUUGUCAGUGGGCUCUGACACAGUCUCUGCUCCUGUCUCGUAUGCAGACAGCGUGCUUUCUGUGGGACUGUGCAGAAGAGAGAGAGACUCUAGAUUCCCUGUUUGACUGUCUGUAAGAGCUGGUGGCGACUGUGUUUGGUCUACCGUGCAAAGGAGUGGCAGAUCCAUGGGGACUUCUAGUGGUGCUGCUUGAGGAGGUUGUCAGCAGUGAGGAUUUGGCUGUCAAACAGCAACUUCAGGCCAAGUUUUGGGACGAAUGGCACAAAGUUCUAUGCACACAUUAUUUGUGCCUGGCUUUUCAGGUGUCAUUACCUCCACUGGGUCCAAGUGCAUUCUUGUGCUUUUAGAUUCCUUACCUGCAAAGUAAAACAUGACAUCACAAGAGAAUUAAAAUAUUUCACAGUUAAAUUGCAAAACUGGAAGAAAAGAUCUGAAGCUCAUGUGUAUGUUUACCUCCUCGAUUGGAAGUAUUUGAAGUAAAGGCACACUAUCUCCCUCUAGUUGUUUAUCUUAGUUAAGAAGGUGCCCAUUUAAAUAGCGUGUUGCAUCUAUUUUAGAAGCUUUUAUAGGACACUUGACAUACCUUAUCACCUUCUUGUUGUCAUUAUUGUGUAGCUGAUAAAAGUGUCUGGUGUGUCUGUGUGGUGUCUGUAGCUGCAGACUAGACUCCAAAUUCUAUUGUCUGGCACAACUGAGGGGUAGUAAAGCAUGUCUACAUGAUCAAAAUACAGUAUUUUCAUGUGGAAUUAUAUGUGGAGCUAGACAGUGUGCGAUUCAUUAACAGCUGUUAUUGAACUUUUGCACAAUGCUGUCCAAUCCUUAAUAGCUCGGUACCAGACAAGACGCACCAAAAUAUUGCAUUCAGAAGCCCUUAGAGCUGCGAGUAUUUAAAUAUCAAGAGAAUUCUUAAGAAUCUCUGGUAUUAAUCAUUAGCUCAAAGGGGCUACAUUAGGCCAGUCCAGUUUCAGCGUAUUUGCUGCAAAAUUAUGAAUAUUGCUCUUUUAUUUACCUUAAGUUGAAAAUACUGUAAAAUUUCAGAUAUAACGAUGUUAAUUCUUUCAAUAUUCAUGGCAUUCCAAACUUUAUAAUUUGGUAGGCUAAUAGACAUUGAAUGUUGCUUUUUUGUGUAGUUCUAAGAAAUUAUAGAGUUACACUGGGGGAGUUACCAUCCUAAAAUGUUGGUCACAACAAUGACAAUACACCUGACCUAUAUUAAAAUCCUAUCGCCAGUGUUGCCCACUACCUGAGGUAUUUGCAGAGGCUUGAUAUGAAGUGUUGAAAGGGGAGGCUUCAAAACAUGCACCCUGAUAUACAAGAUUGCAGGAGGGGAACUGGUGGCACAUUCACUGGAAAAAUACCAGUACAUCUUCACCCAUGACCUGCAUUUGUCACAUUCCUGCUGCAGUGAAGGACACCUAGCCUCAGGCCUCAAAUGUUUACUACGAAAACAGAUCCUAGUUUACCUCUAUUGACAAACACCUUGAACACAAACUAAUUUCACAAAAUGUCCGGGCUGCAAAAACAUUAAAAAUGUUCAUUUUAGAGUUAAUAGUCACUGAACUAAUGUUAUAAUCACAAUGUCUAUAACACCCUGUACCAAAUGAUCUUAACACUGCUAAAGAUAGAUUUAUGUUACCUUAAAUUAAUUCGUUACUCUUCUGAUUUCAAUCAUAUUUUGUACAGAGAGUCCAUAUUUUUUAUUUAGAUCACGUGCAUGCUACUAGUCCAUAUAUCAGAGUUGUGACAUACUCUGACAUACACUUUGAUGUUUUAAAUUGAACAGAAAUCAAUCUUGUUGGUAUGCUUGAUUAGCACAUUAGGUAGGGAUUGAUCUGUACUGACAUUAAAAAACAAUAAAGCUGUCAGCACAUGCGUGACUAAGAGCAAGAAAGUGUAAUUUGAUGUCAUCUUGACUCUCUGUGCCAAAAUAGAUACACUCUCAGUCACACAACACCCCCAAGAGCCUGCUGCAUCUUUAAAGCUUCUGUAUGUGAACGACUCGCUUGAAAUACCAAAUACAGUACAUCUAAACUGUUUUGAAAAUAACACUAUCUGCCUCAAAAUGUAAUACUUUCUCAACACUCACUGCUGCAAAUGACCAGGGUGAAAACACAACAAGUAUUUGUCAAAAUUCAUUACACGUGUAAAUCAUGUGGAAUUAAUUCUGAUGCUUUACAGAGUGAAUCAUGAGUGUCAAGCAGCACAGCAGUGUGUGUGUGUGUGUGUGUGUGUGUGUGUGUAUGUGUGUGUGUGUGUGUGUGUGUGUGAUGUGUGUGUGUGCAUGUCAACCCAUCAUCAGUGUUGUAAGCGUCAAAGCAGUGUGAUUGACAACAUUUACCAUGCCCAAAGAAAAAACCACCAACAUAUGUCAAACAAGUUAGCUCACAGCUGAAUCACACAUAAUAAAAGUAGUAUUAUUACUUGAGGUAUUAGUACAGAUGUCAUAGCCUUUGAAGGGGAUUUUCAGCCAUGCAUGUAGUACGUACCCUUUUCAUAGCCGUGUGGUUGAAGAUAUAGACCUAUGAUGUAGGACUUCAGUAUGAGCUCAGGCAGAGCUGGCAGUCUCGGGGUGUGAGUCUAUUUUUAACAGUUGCCCCCCUUAAGUACAAAGUCAGUUACCUGAUAUUGUAGACAUGUGCCGAUCUUGAACAUAUAACACUCGAAAUCUAUAUUUAUUACAGACUCUUUCAGUAUGGACCUAUUUUACAGACUGAUUUUGAUUUGUGGUUGUCAUUGAUAUGUAAUUGAGGAAAGUUUUUGACUCUUGCCAGGAAGAGAAAUAUUGAAAAACCUUAGGCGAGCAUGCACUGGAGUAAUAAUUUUGGUUUAGAUAAGGAGUUUUUUCACCAUUUGAUAUCCUGCAGAGGGAAAAACAAUUAUAUAUUUCACUCCUUUCUCAGCCCAGAAGGCUAAUUGUUUCAUGAAGUUAAAAGAAUAAAGAGAAAAUAGAACAAAACUGCUGAUACUCUUUUGAACAUGAGCCAGUCUUUUAGAUAAAAGGUUUAUUUUUCCAAAGAAAUGAUCUACGAAUUCUCUGAGGGCUUGUAAGCUUGUACAUUAUAUUUUGUGUGAAAAUAAUUUAUUCUUAUCCACUUAUAUUCAUAAGUGUAACCAAGAAAAUAUAUAUUUUAGUCUUUUUACACUACAUAAUGUAUAACAAAGAAAGUUUUCCUUCUGAUAUAAAUGUGUUUACACUGCACUCGUGACAUUGAGGGUCACAUGUCUGACAACACUAACAACCCUCUAAUUACUCUGGUAAAGCAACAAUGCACUGUUGUCAGUGGCCAAAACAACAUAAUGAGACCAGACCUUUCUUGGCUUCUGUGGAAAAUUAUUAGUAGUCAAUUAUCUCAGCCUAGCGUGACAGUGAUAUAAUGUGACUUUUUUCUCUCAUUUAGCCAAAUUACUUAUCUCAUAAGCAGUGAACACAAACUAAUCCUUAAUGACAUAAAUGGCAGGUCAGUUUCCAAUAAUUUGAAUAGGCCAACAAUUUAGUUGGAAAGUGAUGAUGAUUCUGUAUUCAUGGUGUCUGUUGUUUGUACUCAAAAGCAUGAAACAUUUAUGAUUUUACAUUAAGUUCAAUAUCCAUAGAUACUUGGAAAAUGGAUGUGCUUGAAGUGGAGUCACAUAAGUGUGACUAUAAUGACUACAAGACUGCAGAAAGUCACGGAAUAGUCCAAUAUAAUGUGUUCAUUAGUGCUUUGGAAUUUGGACAAAGCCAGACUAGCUGUUUCCACCUGUUUCCAGCCUUUAUGCUAUGCUAAGCUAAGCUAACCAACUACUAGCUGCAGCCUUAUAUUGAAGGGACAGAUGUAAGAGUGGCAUUCUCAUCUAAUUCUUGGUAAGAAAGUAAAAGUUGGUUGUUCAGGUGUCUACAGAGUUGGAUAUAAACAGUGUCUGACUUAUUAUGUCUCUUGUUACACAUUUAUUUUUAAAACACAGCUCAUGUCUGUUGCAUGUAAUUAGAUAUUUGCAUGAAAAUGUACUUCUUGAUGUCUGUGUAAUCCUUAAAGGGGAAUUUUCUCAAGAUCAUAGCAUUUUCAUAGUCCUUGUUACUUCAUCCCAUGCUCUUAUCCUGCUGCUUGACAAUAUUUAAUGGCUUAUUCCUGCUGCAAAUCUCCUAUACAUUACUGCCUUUGACUUUAUUUAUUGCAAUUUAAUUAUUUAUCUUCCUCCUUUUGUUUGGGUUUCCUCAAACCAGGCAGUGACCUUCUCCAGGCAUCCACAUCCUUAUGUCACAGCAGUUUUUCCUAUUGUGCUUUUAAGAAAUGUUUUACACUUGAAAAACCUCAGGUCCUCUUUUAAUGGUAUUAAACAUUGUUUCAGACUUGUUUACUUCACUGUAUAUCUUUCUGAAAACUGCUUACUAGUUGUUGCUUCAUAAUGAUGUAAAUAGGUGAAUGACAGUUUUAUUUUUGUUACCAAGAGUAAUUUAUGGCUGUUACAUAAUUUCUCCUGUGACAGGUGAGGGAAGCAGAUUCUUUUACUGCUUUAAAAUCACCACGUUGUAAAUAGUUGUUUAACAACGGAGGCCCUCCAAUAAAACAGCCAUGACUCAAGUGUUAUUUUUUUAAAGAAUAAAGAAAAGAAAAUAUA